GAUGAACGCUGGCGGCGUGCCUAAUACAUGCAAGUCGAACGAGGUGCUUUUGUAGCAAUACGAGAGUAUCCUAGUGGCGAACGGGUGAGUAACGCGUUGGUGACCUACCCCAAAGUGUGGGAUAACAGAUCGAAAGAUCUGCUAAUACCGCAUGUGGUCUUCGGAUUUAGAAACUGAUGACUAAAGGAGCAAUUCGCUUUGGGAGGGACCUGCGUCCCAUCAGCUAGUUGGUGAGGUAACGGCUCACCAAGGCGACGACGGGUAGGGGACCUGAGAGGGUGGCCCCCCACAAUGGAACUGAAACACGGUCCAUACACCUACGGGUGGCAGCAGUAGGGAAUAUUGCUCAAUGGGCGAAAGCCUGAAGCAGCAACGCCGCGUGUGCGAUGAAGGCCUUCGGGUCGUAAAGCACUUUUCUGAGGGAUGAGAAAGGACAGUACCUCAGGAAUAAGUCCCGGCUAACUACGUGCCAGCCGCCGCCGUAACAC
rnacentral:rRNA from 1 species